UCCCUGAUGGCUCAGAUGGUAAAGCGUCUGCCUGAAAUGCAGGAGACCCUGGUUUGAUCCCUGGGUUGGGAA
rnacentral:tRNA from 1 species